rnacentral:rRNA from 1 species
GAUGAACGCUGGCGGCGUGCCUAAUACAUGCAAGUCGAGCGAACAGACGAGGAGCUUGCUCCUCUGACGUUAGCGGCGGACGGGUGAGUAACACGUGGAUAACCUACCUAUAAGACUGGGAUAACUUCGGGAAACCGGAGCUAAUACCGGAUAAUAUAUUGAACCGCAUGGUUCAAUAGUGAACGACGGUUUUGCUGUCACUUAUAGAUGGAUCCGCGCCGCAUUAGCUAGUUGGUAAGGUAACGGCUUACCAAGGCAACGAUUCGUAGCCGACAUGAGAGGGAGAGCGGCCACACUGGAACUGAGACACGGUCCAGACACCUACGGGAGGCAGCGGUAGGGAAUCUUCCGCAAUGGGCGAAAGCCUGACGGAGCAACGCCGCGUGAGUGAUGAAGGUCUUCGGAUCGUAAAACUCUGUUAUUAGGGAAGAACAAAUGUGUAAGUAACUAUGCACGUCAUGACGGUACCUAAUCAGAAAGCCACGGCUAACUACGUG